rnacentral:lncRNA from 1 species
ACGCCUCCAACUGCGGCAGUUCCUUUGAAUUUUGACGCCACUCCCACUCCACGUAGGGCUAAGCUGCCUGCCAGACUCGGAAGAAACCGGUGGCGGCGAGCCAGCGGGAGCGCGCGCAGCAACGGACAGGAACGCGGCAGGCGGGCGGCGCGCACCUCCCCCGGAAAGGCCGGGAAGAAAAGACCCACAGCUUUUCCACGCGGUGCUUCAGGAACGGCCGCGCCCCCACGUGCUCUCGGGUGCAAUCCGUAACAGAAGGAAGGAAGGACAGCCUCGCUCUGACUGCACCCUAAACUAUAAAGGGACCUGCGCGGAAAGCUGAGGGUUCUCUUUGCGCUAUGAAGGGGUGCCCAAAGCAUCCGAGAGAACUCGUCACAGAAAAUAACUUGAUUAAAACCUGACUCUUUUAAAAGUGGCCAUGCGGACCAGGACGGUGAACACUUCCCUGACCAUGUCUUACUCAGAGCCUUAAGAAGAGUUGGAGGUGGAGCGGAGCUGUGGGGAGGGGCCCAGUGUCUCUCAGAACUUCUCAUCCUCCGGGCUUCCCUAGGAUGCAAUGGGUCAGAGCUCCCAGAUCUCUUAUGCCUCCAAACACAUUGAUUCCCCCCAACUUUUUUACAACGGAUUUCCCAGUUCCUACCAAUCUCAUCUCUCUAAGUAAAUAAGAAGGGGUUUCUACUGAUGGCUUUCCCAUGGCCCGGCUUCAUGCUGCUCCUGUCAGGAUGGAUCAGGAAAGGAGCUGGACCUGAAGAUGAAUCUACCAUACAGUAGGUAGAGGCACGUGACAAGCACGCGCCAAGUCCUAAGCUGAUGCCCGCUAUCAGAAUUAACUGGGUGUGGUGGUGCGUGUUUGUAAUGCCACACUUGAGAGGUCCCAGCAGGAUGGCCAGAACUUCAGCUCAGCUACAGUGCAAGCUGGAGGCCAACCUGUGCUACAUGAGACGCUGUCUAAAUGACAAAACACAUCAAACAGACAAACAAAAGGGCUAAGGUUGGCUAAGGGAGAUCGAGUCAGAAAACCAGCUUGCAUGGAGAAUGCGCUCCUGGAAGCAAGGAUAUCGUUUACAGCCAUAAAAUGAUAAUAACCUGGUAGGAAAACGGGGUGGGAUUUAUAAGUGUCUUCAACAUGCAGAACGAGUAAAACUCACUACACUUCUCAAAAAUGGCAGUGUGGGGACCUUUGAGAGGGGCUCAGUGGGUGAAGGAGUUUGCUAUGGAGCCAAAUGACCUGAGUUCAAGCCCCACCACCCACAAGGUAGAAGGAAAGGAACAACUCCCGCAAGCUGUCUUCUGACCUCCGUGGUGGUACUAUAGCACGCCUUUGCCCCUACCCCACACAAAUAAGAAAACAACAAACAAAUAAACAAAUAAAUAUAAAUAAAACC